GGGGAACAACUGCUGGAAACGGCUGCUAAUACCCCAUAGGCUGAGGAGCAAAAGGAGGAAUCCGCCCAAGGAGGGGCUCGCGUCUGAUGAGUUAGUUGGUGAGGCAAUGGCUUACCAAGGCGACGAUCAGUAGCUGGUCCGAGAGGAUGAUCAGCCCACUGGGACUGAUCACGGCCCAGACUCCUACGGGAGGCAGCAGUGGGGAAUUUUCCUUUUGGGCGAAAGCCUGACGGAUCAAUGCCGU
rnacentral:rRNA from 1 species